rnacentral:rRNA from 1 species
GAUGAACGCUAGCGGCAGGCCUAACACAUGCAAGUCGAGGGGUAACUAGAGUGAUAGCAAUAUUACUUUGGCUAGACCGGCGCACGAGUGCGUAACACGUAUGCAACCUACCUUAUACUGGGGAAUAACUUCGAGAAAUCGGCGCUAAUACCCCAUAACAUUGCGAAGAGUCAUCUCUUUGCAAUUAAAGCUCCGGCGGUAUAAGAUGGGCAUGCGUCCAAUUAGCUAGUUGGUGAGGUAACGGCUCACCAAGGCUACGAUUGGUAGGGGUUCUGCGAGGAUGAUCCCCCACACUGGAACUGAGACACGGACCAUACUCCUACGGGAGGCAGCAGUGAGGAAUAUUGCGCAAUGGUCGAUAGCCUGACCCAGCCAUGCCGCGUGAAGGAUGACGGCCCUAUGGGUUGUAAACUGCUUUUGUAAGGGAAUAAACCCUUCUACGUGUAGGAGGCUGAAGGUACCGUAAGAAUAAGCACCGGCUAACUCCGUGCCAGCAGCCGCCGUAA